rnacentral:rRNA from 1 species
UACGGAGGAUGCAAGCGUUAUCCGGAAUGAUUGGGCGUAAAGCGUCCGCAGGUGGCAAUGUAAGUCUGCUGUCAAAGCGUCUGGCUCAACCAGAUAAAGGCAGUGGAAACUACAUAGCUAGAGUAAGGUAGGGGUAGAGGGAAUUCCUGGUGCAGCGGUGAAAUGCGUAGAGAUCAGGAAGAACACCGGUGGCGAAAGCGCUCUGCUGGACCUUAACUGACACUGAGGGACGAAAGCUAGGGGAGCGAAUGGG